rnacentral:rRNA from 1 species
AUUGAACGCUGGCGGCAUGCCUUACACAUGCAAGUCGAACGGCAGCACGGGAGCAAUCCUGGUGGCGAGUGGCGAACGGGUGAGUAAUACAUCGGAACGUGCCCAGUAGUGGGGGAUAGCCCGGCGAAAGCCGGAUUAAUACCGCAUGAGACCUGAGGGUGAAAGCGGGGGAUCGCAAGACCUCGCGCUAUUGGAGCGGCCGAUGUCAGAUUAGCUAGUUGGUGGGGUAAAGGCCUACCAAGGCAACGAUCUGUAGUUGGUCUGAGAGGACGAACAGCCACACUGGGACUGAGACACGGCCCAGACGCCUACGGGAGGCAGCAGUGGGGAAGUUUGGACAAUGGGCGCAAGCCUGAUCCAGCAAUGCCGCGUGCAGGAAGAAGGCCUUCGGGUUGUAAACUGCUUUUGUCAGGGAAGAAAUCCUCUGGGUUAAUACCUCGGGGGGAUGACGGUACCUGAAGAAUAAGCACCGGCUAACUACGUGCCAGCCGCCGCAGUAACAC